GACAUGGACCUACAAUUUACAACAUGCAGGCUCACCAGGUCUGCCUGCUCAUUAUAAAUUGAAGAUCAGAAUCUGAAUGUGGGGAGGGGGAGAGAGAGAGAGGAUUUAUCAAUGGAAUAGCAUAACACGCAAAAAGCUAUUCAUGAAUUAGUCAUAUGGUGGGCAGAAGAGUGUGGACAAAUUCUCACCAGAGGGAAAUUCUGCAGUCUAAACUCAACAAUCUUAAGAAUGAAUCAGUACCACUAAAAAGAUGAUGAUGAUGAUGAUGAUAAAGAUGAAAUCUGUGGCUGCAGACAGGCAGGGAGGUUAUCAGACUUCCCAAUUCACCUUUUCCCUGUCAGACUGGAAGUUCUGUGACAACCCUCAGCUGUAUUGACUAUGGAUAGUUAUCUUAUAUGACUGUGAUGCCACUUGUGGUAUUGUACAAAGCCGCCACUUAACUUCUUCAAUGGAAGCAGACGAUGCUCAAUAGCUUGCAGCACUGGGCCUUGACUCUUUGGACAGCUUUGCUUUAAAUUACUGACUCAUUCAUAUGAAGUAACGAAUAUUAAAAAUGCAUGCUAUUGACUUCAAGACACUGUAGGAUGGAUUCAUGAAUAACAGAUUACAGUCCAAAUUUUGCUCCAGUGUGAAUCUUGACUUCAUUUGACAGCAAAUGGGAUAUAAUUUGGAGCACUGCAGCAUUACAAAGAGCAGAACUUGUCUCCAUAUAUGUAGGCGGAACAUCACAGAAAUGCCACCAGGACUGGGAUGGAACAGAGCAGCUGUCUAACUGUGCACAACAGCACUUCACAACAGAGAAAGUGAAGAAUACCAUGUCCAACUGAAACUGCAAACGGAAUGUAAGUAGGUGGAAUGUAAUAACCACAGUUGAAAUCCGGCCACACUCUUGCUAAAAGGCUUCUGGGAUCUUUACUGACCAAAAGCAUUCAGAUCCUCUGUUUUAUAUCUCAUCCUAAAGACAGCAUCUCCAGCACCGCCGUCCCCCACUAUCAAUCGGCUGGAACAUUGGUUCAGUACUACUACAGAGGGAACAGUAUCACCUACCAGAUCACUAAUUAUCAGCACUUCUUUAGGAUCUGGAUUUUCUCUAGAGGACUUCCAUCGCUCUCUCUCCAAUAUAAAUCCUCUCUAUUCCUAAAAUCCCAUCUACCUUAAAUCUCCACAAUAAUUAAUCUCUUUACAACAUUCUGAAUACUUGGCCCUGUAAGAUUGUGGUAUAAUGAGGUGAAGCAUGUUGGAACAAAUAAUAUAAAGAUGCACAGAGUCAAAAGAAUGUGUUUCUUGACUAAAUGAAGCUUUCGCAGAGGCAAGAAAGUUGGAAUAUACAUCACAACAACAAUCAGAAGUUGGGCAAUGUACAUCCAUGUGAAUUAAAGAAGUAAGUUCUGGAAAAGUUCUAGGUCACCGAGGGAGUUAUUCCAAAACAUAAAGUGGCCAUGCCCUCUGAGAGAUUGAGUGCUGUCAAUUUCUGUCGCUGGAGUAGUCCAAUACAUUGUAAAGCAGUCCUAAUCAGUUUGAAGCAGCAUCAUGUGAAAUCCACCCAUCUUCCCUGCAAAUUAUGCCAGGUGUAUUUGGGUAACAUGCAUAGAUACUAUUUUUGGGUAGAGGGUGUACAUGCCCAAACAUAAAGAUUACUUCCACAGACCAAGAGUCUCCAUCACAAAAUGCUGCCACACAGUACACGUAGAAUAUCCAGUCUGCAUGAAGUUAAUAAUAUAUAUAUUUGGGAGGGUGUGCA